rnacentral:tRNA from 1 species
UAUUUAAUAAUUUAAAUUAAAAUAAUAAAUUGCAAAUUUAUUAAUUUAGAUGAGUCUAAUUAAAUAU